GACGGAGGGGGCUAGCGUUGUUCGGAAUUACUGGGCGUAAAGGGCGCGUAGGCGGCAAAUCAAGUUAGGCGUGAAAUCCCUGGGCUUAACCCAGGAACUGCGUUUAAUACUGGUUAGCUAGAGAUUGGUAGAGGAAAGUGGAAUUCCUAGUGUAGAGGUGAAAUUCGUAGAUAUUAGGAAGAACACCAGAGGCGAAGGCGACUUUCUGGGCCAAUACUGACGCUGAGGCGCGAAAGCGUGGGGAGCAAACAGG
rnacentral:rRNA from 1 species